CUGCCUGCAAAAUCUUAGGGCAACCUGCUAUGGGGCAUUUUGGUUGUCCUCUUUCGGAUGCUAUGUAAAGCAUGAUUGCCUUCUUCUCGUAAAUAUGCUUGCAUAGCACACUGCGAACUGGCUCUGCUAAUUCAGUAACAGGCUUUCCACUUAAUGGGCAAAUGAUAUUCAAAAGGCUAGAUUGGGUACUUGUCAUUACAAUGUCCUCUUGCUCUUCUCCUGGCAUUGGCUGCCCUAAAUGGUGAACAUUCCAGACAGCUCCUCUAAAUUUACGUAUCAGUUGAUGAUUUUGUGAAGAAGAAGAUGAACUAGACCAAAGCUUCUCAAAUUCAUC
rnacentral:misc_RNA from 1 species